UUUUAACCCCUUUAUUGCUGGAAAGAAAAAACGAGAAACUUAGAUUGAAAUUUUGGGAGAGUUGAAAGGCGAAAAAAAUAAAUUUGAAACACUGUUGGCGGCUGUCAAAAUUGCAGAUACGGUUGCAGAGAAAGAGACUUGUGGCUGACGGUCAUUACGUGUGGAUUCUGUUGCUAAGGUGAGCCUUCGCAUUGUUCCUGGAGGCUGUCAUCAAGCUUUAGUCAUUUUUAGCUUAUAUUUCUUUUCGUUGGAUUUGCAUGCCCGAAAGGUGAACUCAUGUAACUUUGUUUAGAUGCUCCAUGGUCUAGUGUGGGGUUUGGGUUAGAGAUUUGUUAUCUUUUCGUAAGUCGUUAUACGAUAUCUUGUUGGAUAAUAACUUUGCACUUAAUAAUAAGUUCGUGCAUUUGAAGUUGCACAUAUUUUUUUUUA